rnacentral:rRNA from 1 species
GACGAACGCUGGCGGCGUGCUUAACACAUGCAAGUCGAACGGAAAGGCCCUGCUUUUGUGGGGUGCUCGAGUGGCGAACGGGUGAGUAAAACGUGAGUAACCUGCCCUUGACUUUGGGAUAACUUCAGGAAACUGGGGCUAAUACCGGAUAGGAGCUCCUGCUGCAUGGUGGGGGUUGGAAAGUUUCGGCGGUUGGGGAUGGACUCGCGGCUUAUCAGCUUGUUGGUGGGGUAGUGGCUUUCCAAGGCUUUGACGGGUAGCCUGCCUGAGAGGGUGGCCGGCCACAUUGGGACUGAGGUACGGCCCAGACUCCUACGUGCGGCAGCAGUCGGGAAUAUUGCGCAGUGGGCGGAAGCCUGAUGCAGCAACGCCGCGUGCGGGAUGACGGCCUUCGGGUUGUAAACCGCUUUCGCCUGUGACAAAGCGUGAGUGACGGUAAUGGGUAAAGAAGCACCGGCUAACUACGUG